AUUGAACGCUGGCGGCAUGCCUUACACAUGCAAGUCGAACGGUAACAGGUCUUCGGAUGCUGACGAGUGGCGAACGGGUGAGUAAUGCAUCGGAACGUGCCCAGUUGUGGGGGAUAACUGCUCGAAAGAGCAGCUAAUACCGCAUACGACCUGAGGGUGAAAGCGGGGGAUCGCAAGACCUCGCGCAAUUGGAGCGGCCGAUGUCAGAUUAGGUAGUUGGUGGGGUAAAGGCCUACCAAGCCGACGAUCUGUAGUUAGUCUGAGAGGACGACCAGCCACACUGGGACGGAGACACGGCCCAGACUCCUACGGGAGGCAGCAGUGGGGAAUUUUGGACAAUGGGCGCAAGCCUGAUCCAGCAAUGCCGCGUGCAGGAAGAAGGCCUUCGGGUUGUAAACUGCUUUUGUCAGGGAAGAAAUCCUCUGGGUUAAUACCCCGGGGGGAUGACGGUACCUGAAGAAUAAGCACCGGCUAACUACGUGCCAGCCGCCGCCGUAA
rnacentral:rRNA from 1 species